rnacentral:rRNA from 1 species
UGCGUAGGCGGAUUGAUAAGUCAGUGGUGAAACCCUGCAGCUUAACUGUAGACUUGCCAUUGAUACUGUUAGUCUUGAGUAUGGUCAAGGUAGGCGGAAUGUGUAAUGUAGCGGUGAAAUGCUUAGAUAUUACACAGAACACCGAUUGCGAAGGCAGCUUACUAAGCUAUGAUUGACGCUGAGGUACGAAAGCGUGGGGAGCGAACAGGAUUAGAUACCCUGGUAGUC